rnacentral:rRNA from 1 species
UACGAAGGGGGGCUAGCGUUGCUCGGAAUUACUGGGCGUAAAGGGGCGCGUAGGCGGACAGUUUAGUCAGAGGUGAAAGCCCAGGGCUCAACCUUGGAAUUGCCUUUGAUACUGGCUGUCUUGAGUUCGGGAGAGGUGAGUGGAACUCCGAGUGUAGAGGUGAAAUUCGUAGAUAUUCGGAGGAACACCAGUGGCGAAGGCGGCUCACUGGCUCGGUACUGACGCUGAGGUGCGAAAGCGUGGGGAGCAAACAGG